AGCUGUCUGGCUCCUGGCACUGCCAUGGGCUCCAGGCUCCUCUGUUGUGUGGCCCUGUGUCUCCUGGGGGCAGGUCCAGUGGAGUCUGAAGUCAUUCAAACCCCCAAGCACCUGGUCAAAGCACCCAGUCAAGCAGUGACUCUGAGAUGUUCCUAUGAGUCUGGACACAACUACGUAUACUGGUAUCAGCAGAAACAAGGCCAGGGCCCUCAGUUCAUGGUGCAGUAUUAUAAUGGGCAGUUGAAUGAGAAGGGAAUUCUCCCUGCCCUGUUCUCAGUCCAGCAGAAGUCCAAGAACCAUCACUCUGAGUUGACAGUGAGCUCCUUGAAGCUGGAGGACUCAGCCCUGUAUCUCUGUGCCAGCAGCAUAGCACAGCCCUGCACCACCAGCAGUCUGGAACACAAAAACCUUCCUGCCCAGCUCAGGAAGUGAUGAAGGCUGGGGUUGGGGGUGGGGGGGACAUCCAGGAAGGCUGGCUCAGUCUGGGACAGAGGACAGCAUCUCUGUUGCUUAUUAAAGUGAU